rnacentral:tRNA from 1 species
GGCUUUAUAUUCAAUAUAUGAUAUCAAAAUGCAAUUUUGGAGUAGUGUUUUCACUAAAGCUU